rnacentral:rRNA from 1 species
AGAGUUUGAUCAGUGGCUCAAGAACGAACGCUGGCGGCAUGCCUAACACAUGCAAGUCGAACGGGCGUAGCAAUACGUCAGUGGCAGACGGGUGAGUAACGCGUGGGAACAUACCUCUUGGUUCGGAACAACACAGGGAAACUUGUGCUAAUACCGGAUAAGCCCUUACGGGGAAAGAUUUAUCGCCGAGAGAUUGGCCCGCGUCUGAUUAGCUAGUUGGUAGGGUAAUGGCCUACCAAGGCGACGAUCAGUAGCUGGUCUGAGAGGAUGAUCAGCCACAUUGGGACUGAGACACGGCCCAAACUCCUACGGGAGGCAGCAGUGGGGAAUAUUGGACAAUGGGCGCAAGCCCGAUCCAGCCAUGCCGCGUGAGUGAUGAAGGCCCUAGGGUUGUAAAGCUCUUUUGUACGGGAAGAUAAUGACGGUACCGUAAGAAUAAGCCCCGGCUAACUUCGUG